rnacentral:rRNA from 1 species
GAUGAACGCUAGCGACAGGCUUAACACAUGCAAGUCGAGGGGCAGCAGGGGAGUAGCAAUACUCCCGCUGGCGACCGGCGCACGGGUGAGUAACACGUAUGCAACCUGCCCUUGUCAGGGGGAUAAGCGGAAGAAAUUCCGUCUAAUACCGCAUAACGCUGCGGGGAGACAUCUCCCUGCAGCCAAAGAUUUAUCGGACAAGGAUGGGCAUGCGGCGCAUUAGCUUGUUGGCGGGGUAACGGCCCACCAAGGCGACGAUGCGUAGGGGUUCUGAGAGGAAGGUCCCCCACACUGGUACUGAGACACGGACCAGACUCCUACGGGAGGCAGCAGUGAGGAAUAUUGGUCAAUGGCCGGGAGGCUGAACCAGCCAAGUCGCGUGAGGGAAGACGGUCCUAUGGAUUGUAAACCUCUUUUGUCAGGGAGCAAAAACUGCCACGCGUGGCAGGAUGAGAGUACCUGAAGAAAAAGCAUCGGCUAACUCCGUGCCAGCAGCCGCGGUAAUACGGAGGAUGCGAGCGUUAUCCGGAUUUAUUGGGUUUAAAGGGUGCGUAGGCGGACAGUUAAGUCAGCGGUAAAAUUGAGAGGCUCAACCUCUUCCCGCCGUUGAAACUGAUUGUCUUGAGUGGGCGAGAAGUAUGCGGAAUGCGUGGUGUAGCGGUGAAAUGCAUAGAUAUCACGCAGAACUCCGAUUGCGAAGGCAGCAUACCGGCGCCCAACCGACGCUGAAGCACGAAAGCGUGGGUAUCGAACAGGAUUAGAUACCCUGGUAGUCCACGCAGUAAACGAUGAAUACUAAUUGUUCGGGUCGAGUGAGAUCUGAGUGAUACAGCGAAAGCGUUAAGUAUUCCACCUGGGGAGUACGCCGGCAACGGUGAAACUCAAAGGAAUUGACGGGGGCCCGCACAAGCGGAGGAACAUGUGGUUUAAUUCGAUGAUACGCGAGGAACCUUACCCGGGCUCAAACGACACAGGAAUGAUCUGAGAAAUCAGGCAGUCCUUCGGGACCUGUGUCGAGGUGCUGCAUGGUUGUCGUCAGCUCGUGCCGUGAGGUGUCGGCUUAAGUGCCAUAACGAGCGCAACCCCCAUCGACAGUUGCCAGCAGGUCAAGCUGGGCACUCUGUCGAGACUGCCGGCGCAAGCUGUGAGGAAGGCGGGGAUGACGUCAAAUCAGCACGGCCCUUACGUCCGGGGCGACACACGUGUUACAAUGGCAGGUACAGCGGGAAGCCACCUGGCGACAGGGAGCGGAACCCGAAAGCCUGUCUCAGUUCGGAUUGGAGUCCGCAACUCGACUCCAUGAAGCUGGAUUCGCUAGUAAUCGCGCAUCAGCCACGGCGCGGUGAAUACGUUCCCGGGCCU